UAUUAUUGAACUGGAUAUACACACACACUUAAAACUCUCUGAAUUCCAAGAACUUCCAUUAUCUUCAAAGUUUCCUAAGCAAACUCAAAUUAUCAAAAAUGGCUUGUGGUUGUACUUCUUGUAGCACUAACUGCAGUUGUGGAUGCAAGUCCGCUGCAAAGGAAAACCUCGAGGGAGGAUGCAAAUGUGGAGACAACAACUGCACUUGUACCGAUUGCAAGUGUUAAUGAAGGAAAUGAUGAAGAUGGGGGAUUAUUUACAUGUCGACAAUCCCUGAUGAUGAAAUGAUCUUAUUAUGGUGUCGUUUGUGCAUGUCUUUGAUGUUAAAAUAAAGUAGUCAUGAUUAGCAAUGCUUGAGAUUCAAGUGUUAAUGGCUGCAUAGUGUUUGUGUACAUGUUGUUAAUUCAGUUGUGUAAAAGUGGUGAUGGGAGAUGUUGUUUCACUCUUGUGGUUUUCAUAAUAUAUUAUUACUAGCAAAAA